rnacentral:rRNA from 1 species
GACGAACGCUGGCGGCGUGCUUAACACAUGCAAGUCACGGGGGUCCCGCAAGGGAUAACCGGCGAACGGGUGCGUAACACGUGAACAACCUGCCCUCGUGUGGGGGAUAGCCAUGCUAACGCGUGGGUAAUACCGCAUACGUUCUCUUUGGGGAGUCCCGAGGAGAGGAAAGCUCCGGCGCACGGGGAGGGGUUCGCGGCCUAUCAGCUAGUUGGCGGGGUAAUGGCCCACCAAGGCGACGACGGGUAGCUGGCUGAGAGGAUGGCCAGCCACAUUGGGACUGAGAGACGGCCCAGACUCCUACGGGAGGCAGCAGUGGGAAUAUUGGACAAUGGGCGCAAGCCUGAUCCAGCCAUGCCGCGUGAUGAUGAAGGCCUUAGGGUUGUAAAGUCCUUUUAGCGGGGAAGAUAAUGACGGUACCCGCAGAAAAAGCCCCGGCUAACUUC